rnacentral:lncRNA from 1 species
ACGGGGGGAUGUGUCUUUGGGCCCACCUGUUAAUCCAGUUGUACCUGUUAUCUGGAGAGAACGUGGAUAAGGGUAUGAAGACUUGUUCAUAUCACACACUGGUCUGUUCUAGUAACCGCUGGAAUAACUUGCAUAUAUAUCCUUUGGUUAAACAGUAAGCUUAGCUCCCUUCUCCUGAAAUUGUGCUUCAGAGAAUUUAGUUAGUUCAGGGCCAUGGCUUGAUGGUUCCCUAGAUACGAAGUACUCUGAACAAAACGAUUCCACUUUGUUGCCUCAGUUUCCCUCUCAGUUGGGGGUGGGGGGGACGGCAAAGUAUGUUUUGCUUUAAGUAUUUAAGUGACUGAAAUACUUGUUUUUCAUAUGAUCUUUAUUGGAACUGAAAAUUUCUAAAUUCUUCAGUUGUUUUUAUUUUCAGUUCUUAAUAGUCUUUGACAAAAUGCCAACAGCUAUAUUAAAGGACUAAUACGUCCUGCUUAGUCCCUGUAAUUGGUAUGCCAGGGAUUUCAUAACAUGAAAAUGUGGUAUUUGUGAGACCUGUGGUAAUCCAGGUAGAAAAACUCAACUGUGGAAGGUCCUCCCUGUAGUCUCACUUAUAGCUCAUCUCGGAUUUGUCACUGACCUGGAAGGAGCUUACUUGGAAGCGUGGAUGUGCUUAUACUCUGGGAUGUGUGGGGAUAAGGGAAUGUAGGCAUCUACAAACAACUGUCCAGUCUUCACGUCUGGAAGCGUGGGUCUGUCGGUGAAGGGCCCGAGAGCGUGGGCCGCCGAGCCGUGUCAUUUCAUAACCCUUCCACAUUGUUUUGUUUCCUUGUUUCAUGGGUAAGAGCAUCAUGUGUUCAGUAUGUAACCAUGCAAAGUGUGGCUAAAAUUCUUGUUACCCUUCAGCAUGCAUUUCAAACGAGGACUAAAACUAAAGUGUGUGUGCGUAUGAGGUAUACUUGUGAGGUCAUGUGACUAGUGUUUUCUGUGUGUGCAUGGUAUAUGUGAAUAUAUGCUUGCAUGUAUGUGGAUUGGUAUGCACGUGUAGGUCAGAGGGCAGUGUUUGGUGUGCCUCUUGAUCACUCCUCAGACAUCGAGGUAGAGUGUCCCUCUUGAACCUAGGCACUUUGCCAGUUCUGCUAGUUUAGGUAGUCAGCUUGCUCUCCAUCCUGUCUCCACCUCCUGAGUGCUGAGAUUAUAGGCAGACCACCAUGCCUGCUCCUCCCACCAUGCCUGCUCCUCCCACCAGUUUUGAGUGUGCUGGGAAUCUAAACACCAGUACUCACAUGUAGGUGCCAUGAGCUUUACCCAUUGAGCCGUCCCCUCAGCCCCAAGUGUCUCACAAGCAAGAGACACUUGUUAACAUACAACAAGUUACUAUUAGCCAGAAGAGUUUAAACUGUACUAAGGGUGACUGCCGGGAGCACAUUACUUCCUGUCAGCCAUUGUGUCAGGAGCCUUUGGGCCUUUUUUUUCUGUCUGUGGAACGGGAAGGAGCUGGUCACUAGUGCUGAUGAAUAAGGCGACUGACUACAGAGCUAUGUGUGUGUUUCUUGUCGUCAGCAACCAGCGGGCCUCCACCUCAUCCCUAGAGUCAGCAUGUCAUGGUCAGAAGCAGCUAGUUCAUGGAUCCAGCGUUCCAGGGGAACACCACAUAGUGGGAUGAUUGACAGGUUGAGGAAACACUGCAGAGUGGUGGGCACUGCAGCUGAGGAACCUGCUACUAGAACCCAGAUCAGGAUCAGAUGAAGUCUUAUGAUAGAGACUUGGGGAAAGUGAAACGUGUGUGUGAGUUGGAGGCGGGAGGAGAGAGAGAGAGAGAUUGAUUUAGAGUUGCUUAUGUGAUCAGAUCUUAGAAAUUCAGUCCCUUGCACUAUCCCUUAUUCUAUGCCGUGUUCUAAGGAUUCUUGGACUAACUUUCACAGAAUAGUUCCUUUUUUUAUAUAAUAUGGUAGCGCAUGACUCUAAUUCCAGCACUCGAGAGGCAGAGGAAGUGGCUCUCUGUGAGUUCGAUCAUAGGCAGAACUGUGUGGAAAGACCUUGUCUCAAAACUAAAUAUAAAUAAAUAAAAUAGCAUUAAAAGAACAUAACCAAAAAAAAAAAAAAAGAACAUAA